ensembl:lncRNA hemogen
CAUGUCCAUGGCAGAUAAGAUGUGUAGGGCGGGUAAUCUUUUUCCCCUCUCCGUUUUGGAAACUCUUUUUGCACUAAACCAUUAGAUGCGUUACAUGAUCCUACGGUGGAGCUCAGCUCCUUUUUCUAUAUAAAUAUUAAAAUAAACUGUUACAGAUGGCAAGUUUAGAAAAGGAUCAUUCAUACUCUGAAAUCCCACAGCAGCCAGAGGCUACACCUGAAGAAUAUGCAGUUGCAGAUGUUGGCAUUUCACACCGUUUGAGAGAUCGAGAACUUCUCAGAAAAAGAAGAGCAGAAGCAGAAGAAAAAGAUAUUCAACAGGAGCAAAAGAGACACAAGCGAGCACGGAAAGGAAGAGCAACUGGAAGGGGCCGGGGCCGGCAUCAGGCUCCACAACCAGAACCACAACCAGAAUUGCAGUCAGAGGAAGCUGAGAGUCAUGAAACACAGGUAGCCGCAGUGGAGGAGAAAGCUGAAGUCACUCAUGGACUCCCUGAAGAAUGCUCUGUCCCUCUGGUGGUAACGGAAGGGCUGUAUUCCCAAGAGGAAAUAACUCCGUCUGUUUUCACAUGUGCUCAUCAACCAGGAAUAGAGGAGACACCAAGACCAGAAGGAUCAGAGGAGCCUCAGUCUUUGGAAAAUGAUCACUUGGAGCAAGAUUUAUUUGGCUUUUAAUUGAAAAGUUGCUUGUGGAUAAUAAUUAUUCCUAUUCAAUGUGGAAAAGUUGUUAGACUUACAUGGUACCUGUCAUUCUUGUGUGAGCAAUAAAAAAAAUCUGGAGGCCUUUG